rnacentral:tRNA from 1 species
UCGGCGCGAUAUCCGGCGGCGAUCAGCGCGGCGGCGGUGGUCUCGCCGACGGCCGCGACGUUCGUGGUCUCGGGGAUCACGACCCCGUACGACGAG